UACCGAGUUUACAACUCCCAAACCCUUUGUGAACAUACCUACAACGUUGCCUCGGCGGGACACGCCCCGCGGGCCUAUGCGCCCCGGAACCAGGCCCCCGCCGCAGGACCCCAAACUCUUGUUUUAUGCAGUGGUUUCUCUGAGUGGCUUCUAGCAAAAAAUAAAAUCAAAACUUUCAACAACGGAUCUCUUGGUUCUGGCAUCGAUGAAGAACGCAGCGAAAUGCGAUAAGUAAUGUGAAUUGCAGAAUUCAGUGAAUCAUCGAAUCUUUGAACGCACAUUGCGCCCGCCAGUAUUCUGGCGGGCAUGCCUGUUCGAGCGUCAUUUCAACCCUCAGGAUCGCCCUUUAGGGGGCGGAACCUGGCGUUGGGGAUCAGCGAAGACGCGGGGCGGCCCUCGGGCCUCACCCUGCCGGCUGGCCCUGAAAUACAGUGGCGGUCACGCUUGUAGCCUCCUAUGCGUAGUAGCUAACACCUCGCACUGGGACUCUGCGCGGCCACGCCGUAAAACCCCCAAUUUUUCAAUGGUUGACCUCGGAUCAGGUAGGAAUACCCGCUGAACUUAAGCAUAUCAAUAAGCGGAGGAAAAGAAACCAACAGGGAUUGCCCUAGUAACGGCGAGUGAAGCGGCAACAGCUCAAAUUUGAAAUCUGGCCCUCGGGUCCGAAUUGUAAUUUGCAGAGGAUGCUUUUGACAAGGUGCCUUCCGAGUUCCCUGGAACGGGACGCCAUAGAGGGUGAGAGCCCCGUCCGGCUGGAUACCGAGUCUCUGUAAAGCUCCUUCGACGAGUCGAGUAGUUUGGGAAUGCUGCUCUAAAUGGGAGGUAUAUGUCUUCUAAAGCUAAAUACC
rnacentral:rRNA from 1 species